GUGUAGGGUUGAAAGAUGGUUUCGGCUAUCACUUUAGGAUGGACCCGCGGUGCAUUAGUUAGUUGGUGAGGUAAAGGCUCACCAAGACCGUGAUGCAUAGCCGACCUGAGAGGGUAAUCGGCCACACUGGGACUGAGACACGGCCCAGACUCCUACGGGAGGCAGCAGUAGGGAAUCUUCCACAAUGGACGAAAGUCUGAUGGAGCAACGCCGCGUGAGUGAAGAAGGUUUUCGGAUCGUAAAACUCUGUUGUUGGAGAAGAAUGUAUCUGAUAGUAACUGAUCAGGUAGUGACGGUAUCCAACCAGAAAGCCACGGCUAACUACGUGCCAGCAGCCGCGGUAAUACGUAGGUGGCAAGCGUUGUCCGGAUUUAUUGGGCGUAAAGCGAGCGCAGGCGGUU
rnacentral:rRNA from 1 species